GCCAGUUUGGCUCAGUGGAUAGAGCAUCAGCCUGUGGGCUGAAGGGUCCCAGGUUCAAUUCCGGUCAAGGGCA
rnacentral:tRNA from 1 species